UACGAAGGGGGCUAGCGUUGCUCGGAAUCACUGGGCGUAAAGGGUGCGUAGGCGGGUCUUUAAGUCAGGGGUGAAAUCCUGGGGCUCAACUCCAGAACUGCCUUUGAUACUGAAGAUCUUGAGUUCGGGAGAGGUGAGUGGAACUGCGAGUGUAGAGGUGAAAUUCGUAGAUAUUCGCAAGAACACCAGUGGCGAAGGCGGCUCACUGGCCCGAUACUGACGCUGAGGCGCGAAAGCGUGGGGAGCAAACAGG
rnacentral:rRNA from 1 species